GGGAAAACGGCCAGAGCCGCCUCCCGCACGUCCAUGAUGUCCGACGGCGUCGCUCGCUCGUCCUCCUUCUUCAUGCGGCGAACGUGCGUGAACGCUUCCUCCACAGCCACCACCAACCUGCCCACGGACGUGGAUAUUAUCGACUCUGCGGACAUCCAUAAUGAAAAAUCUCCAAACCCCGCUUUGAUGUAAUGUAGGGCGGCGCGCACGCAGGAGGACGCGCCCGCCGACGGCAAAAAGGUUGCAGGCGGAGAAAGAAAAAUGGGUCGAGCCUUGGGAUUCUUUUCAAGGUCUGGAUUGACCCCCCCCAACCCCCGCUACUAAUGCUUUUAUCUCACAGAUCGGCCCCCGGCGAGGGCUCGCCCGGCAGCGGCUCGCCGUUGUGCACCGGCGAGUCUUGGGAGGACGUCUCCGGGGGGUUGAUGAUGACCGAUUUCUCCGAGCGGCUGCCGUCUUUGCCGGCGCCGGCCUUGUGACGUUCGCGGCCUCGCUCCCUGGAUGCGGGGUGACACAGACGGCCAAAGGUCAAGGAAACCCCCCCCCGCGCCGAACAGGGUGAACUAAAGCUUCGGCUCAAAUAGUUCCCUCAUUUGCAAAGCAGACCAGCCAUCGGAGCCGGCGAGGUGCGACGGCGCGGCUCCCCGCUCCCACCCUCGAAAAGACGGAGCGUCCGACGGGAAACUCACCCGUGCCGGUUUGACCUCCCCGAGCGGCUGGAGUAGCCCGAGUGGGUCGACUCGGUGUCCAUUCCGUUCGGCGUUCACGGGGGACGGUGAGUGCAACGCAGGCCUCGGAUCAGAGCAAUUACAUUUGACUUGUCAGCACAAAGGAAAUAAAUCACAAUUUAAAAAAAAAAAAAAAUUAAAAAAUGGCGC